rnacentral:tRNA from 1 species
CUAGCCAAAGAGGGAGCUCCCCCUCCUUAAUGAU